rnacentral:rRNA from 1 species
AUUGAACGCUGGCGGCAUGCCUUACACAUGCAAGUCGAACGGCAGCACGGACUUCGGUCUGGUGGCGAGUGGCGAACGGGUGAGUAAUGUAUCGGAACGUACCUUUCAGUGGGGGAUAACGUAGCGAAAGUUACGCUAAUACCGCAUAUUCUGUGAGCAGGAAAGCAGGGGACCGCAAGGCCUUGCGCUCUUUGAGCGGCCGAUGUCAGAUUAGCUAGUUGGUGAGGUAACGGCUUACCAAGGCGACGAUCUGUAGCGGGUCUGAGAGGAUAAUCCGCCACACUGGAACUGAGACACGGUCCAGACUCCUACGGGAGGCAGCAGUGGGGAAUUUUGGACAAUGGGCGCAAGCCUGAUCCAGCCAUGCCGCGUGAGUGAAGAAGGCCUCGGGUUGGUUAAAGUACGU